AGUGAACGCUGGCGGUAGGCCUAACACAUGCAAGUCGAACGGCAGCACAGUAAGAGCUUGCUCUUACGGGUGGCGAGUGGCGGACGGGUGAGGAAUACAUCGGAAUCUACUUUUUCGUGGGGGAUAACGUAGUGAAACUUACGCUAAUACCGCAUACGACCUACGGGUGAAAGCAGGGGAUCUUCGGACCUUGCGCGAUUGAAUGAGCCGAUGUCGGAUUAGCUAGUUGGCGGGGUAAAGGCCCACCAAGGCGACGAUCCGUAGCUGGUCUGAGAGGAUGAUCGGCCACACUGGAACUGAGACACGGUCCAGACUCCUACGGGAGGCAGCAGUGGGGAAUAUUGGACAAUGGGCGCAAGCCUGAUCCAGCCAUACCGCGUGGGUGAAGAAGGCCUUCGGGUUGUAAAGCCCUUUUGUUGGGAAAGAAAAGCAGCAGGUUAAUACCCCGCUGUUCUGACGGUACCCAAAGAAUAAGCACCGGCUAACUUCGUG
rnacentral:rRNA from 1 species